UACAGAGGGGGCAAGCGUUGUUCGGAAUUACUGGGCGUAAAGGGCGCGUAGGCGGCCUUCUAAGUCGAACGUGAAAUCCCCGGGCUCAACCCGGGAACUGCGUCCGAGACUGAAAGGCUUGAAUCCGGGAGGGGGAUGUGGAAUUCCAGGUGUAGCGGUGAAAUGCGUAGAUAUCUGGAGGAACAUCGGUGGCGAAGGCGGCAUCCUGGACCGGUAUUGACGCUGGAGGCGCGAAAGCCAGGGGAGCAAAGCGGGAUUAAGCAAACCCCGGGU
rnacentral:rRNA from 1 species